GUGGAACUGGCUUUCCCAGGCGUCCAGGUGGCUGAUGGGGGAGAGUAUCGGUGUGAGGUGCACAACACCCUAGGGAAAUCCACCUCCCUGCCACUCUCCAUCACUGUUGUGUACGGCAGUGACUGGUACCAGCUGAGCCCUGGCCCCAUGGCAGGCUUCAGAGCAGGGGUCCUGCUGCUCUUCCUCCUGAGCAACCUCGGGGUUUAUUGUCUGGCCAGGAGACUCCGCCAACGGAAAGAACUGGGGGGGGAGUCAGCAGGGGGGCAGCAGAGGGGACCCCAGCGUCCCACAGAGAGACUCGCUCUAUGAGG